rnacentral:rRNA from 1 species
AACGCUAGCUACAGGCUUAACACAUGCAAGUCGAGGGGAAACGACAUCGAAAGCUUGCUUUUGAUGGGCGUCGACCGGCGCACGGGUGAGUAACGCGUAUCCAACCUGCCCAUCACUUGGGGAUAACCUUGCGAAAGUAAGACUAAUACCCAAUGAUAUCUCUAGAAGACAUCUGAAAGAGAUUAAAGAUUUAUCGGUGAUGGAUGGGGAUGCGUCUGAUUAGCUUGUUGGCGGGGUAACGGCCCACCAAGGCGACGAUCAGUAGGGGUUCUGAGAGGAAGGUCCCCCACAUUGGAACUGAGACACGGUCCAAACUCCUACGGGAGGCAGCAGUGAGGAAUAUUGGUCAAUGGGCGAGAGCCUGAACCAGCCAAGUAGCGUGCAGGAUGACGGCCCUAUGGGUUGUAAACUGCUUUUAUAAGGGAAUAAAGUGAGUCUCGUGAGACUUUUUGCAUGUACCUUAUGAAUAAGGACCGGCUAAUUCCGUGCCAGCAGCCGCGGUAAUACGGAAGGUCCGGGCGUUAUCCGGAUUUAUUGGGUUUAAAGGGAGCGUAGGCCGGAGAUUAAGCGUGUUGUGAAACGUAGACGCUCAACGUCUGCACUGCAGCGCGAACUGGUUUCCUUGAGUACGCACAAAGUGGGCGGAAUUCGUGGUGUAGCGGUGAAAUGCUUAGAUAUCACGAAGAACUCCGAUUG